rnacentral:rRNA from 1 species
CCAGACUCCUACGGGAGGCAGCAGUGGGGAAUAUUGCACAAUGGGGGAAACCCUGAUGCAGCGACGCCGCGUGAGCGAUGAAGUAUUUCGGUAUGUAAAGCUCUAUCAGCAGGGAAGAAAAUGACGGUACCUGACUAAGAAGCCCCGGCUAACUACGUGCCAGCAGCCGCAGUAAUACGUAGGGGGCAAGCGUUAUCCGGAUUUACUGGGUGUAAAGGGAGCGUAGACGGUUCUGCAAGCCAGAUGUGAAAGCCCGGGGCUCAACCCCGGGACUGCAUUGGAAACUGUCAGGCUAGAGUGUCGGAGAGGCAAGUGGAAUUCCUAGUGUAGCGGUGAAAUGCGUAGAUAUUAGGAGGAACACCAGUGGCGAAGGCGGCUUGCUGGACGAUGACUGACGUUGAGGCUCGAAAGCGUGGGGAGCAAACAGGAUUAGAUACCCUCGUAGC